CCCAGGUUGGAAAAAGUGAGUUACAGAGCGUGCUUGUAUGUGUGUGUAAAGGUAGGUCUCUUUCUUAAUAGCAUAUGGCCCACGGCUCUUCACUGUGUUGAUUUAGUGGCCUGAUCCUAAUCCGUUUUGAAAUGUCAAUUUUCACGUAAUCAAAUCACGUCUAUAUUUAGUUUCCUGCAGGCAAGUCAUUACGUUUUAUGUUUGUUAUGCUUGAUAGCGUAGCCAGAGACGUUCAUUCUGACAUAACCUCAGCUUUAGAAACUAGGAGUCAUUUGAAUGUUGCAAUUUAGUAAACUUGUAAGAAGCUUUGGUAUAUUUGAUUUAUGUUUUAAAGUAGUUUAGUCUGUAAAUGUAAAAAAUUGACAGGAUGAUAGUCAUCUGUAAGAGAGAUUUUCAGUUGCAUUGCAUUUAUAUGGGAUUCUCCGAAUUGUGCUGUUAUUCUUCAUGUUUUCCCAGUAAUGUUCUUCAAAAGAGUGACACUACUAGGUGUGUGUGUGUGUGUGUGAAAAGACACUGAGAUGUGGAUUAAAGGGAGCUGUGCAGCUGUGCAGAGCUCUGAGACUGGAAGAGAGAAACCUGAUCGGAUGAGAAGUUCGGACCGAAGACGAAACAUAGCGCAUGGGUGCAGAAUAGCAGAGACUGGACGCUUUUUUCAAUCUGCAGAUACAUGACUGAGUCCACCUCACAGAGAGAGAAACAGAAGGAGAGCAUGAGAAAAAUGAUGAUGACGAUCGUCACCAUGGAAACGGGCAGUGGUUAUACCCCAGUUUAAGGGAAGCACAGCCAGGAGUCCCUCAGGUUACUGAGUGAACGACAGAGGAAAGACUGGAGAGCGAAAAGGUGAAGAACAGAUGAAGAACACAGAUAAACAGAAUGAAGCCCACUGGGGCUCCUCAACAAAAACACUGACGGAGCGCAGCGUGUGUGGCUACGGGGCCGAUCGAACCCCUCUGCAUGUGAGAAGGAAGUUAUGACUAUAGCCCUAUGAAAGAUGUCUUGAUCUUCUGUGGACCCGAGAAAAAAGGUCUCGGAGACACUCCCCGACUAAAGAGAUGGUACGUACAGUCUACACAAACAGAUGCAAAACGCAUGACUUUUCAGGAAAAACAAGACUUUUUAACAACUUGCUUAAAUGGGUGUCAAAAGGUUAAAAAGGUUGACCUCAAUAAAAUAAACCGCAAAACCCGUACAUGUUCUCCAACAGGUGAAAAAAUAACUAAUAGCAAAGUUUGAAUCAAUAAUCAUAACAAAGAGGAGUGACUCAGCACUUGGCCAGACUGCAGUGUGUAUGUGAUAUGAAAUAUUACACAAUGAGUAGUGAAGUGAAAUAAUAAUGGCCAUAUUUCAUACUGACCCUAAUAACCUUCACUAAUGAAAAUUUCCCUGUGGUGCUGUCAAACAUUCAGAACAUUGUGCUCUUUCAGUUUUCGUAUUUUACUUCGAGCUUUUCUCUGUUUUCAAUAAAUGUCCAGGUGACAUGCAGGGGCGUCAUGCACCGGUUUUCCUGA